UACGUAGGGUGCAAGCGUUAAUCGGAAUUACUGGGCGUAAAGCGUGCGCAGGCGGUUGUGCAAGACCGAUGUGAAAUCCCCGGGCUUAACCUGGGAAUGGCAUUGGUGACUGUACGGCUAGAGUGUGUCAGAGGGGGGUAGAAUUCCACGUGUAGCAGUGAAAUGCGUAGAGAUGUGGAGGAACACCGAUGGCGAAGGCAGCCUUCUGGGCCAACACUGACGCUCAUGCACGAAAGCGUGGGGAGCAAACAGG
rnacentral:rRNA from 1 species